rnacentral:rRNA from 1 species
CGCGGCCUAUCAGCUUGUUGGUGGGGUAACGGCCCACCAAGGCGACGACGGGUAGCCGGCCUAAGAGGGCGACCGGCCACACUGGGACUGAGACACGGCCCAGACUCCUACGGGAGGCAGCAGUGGGGAAUAUUGCGCAAUGGGCGAAAGCCUGACGCAGCGACGCCGCGUGAGGGAUGAAGGCCUUCGGGUUGUAAACCUCUUUCAGCAGGGAAGAAGCGCAAGUGACGGUACCUGCAGAAGAAGCACCGGCUAACUACGUGCCAGCAGCCGCGGUAAUACGUAGGGUGCAAGCGUUGUCCGGAAUUAUUGGGCGUAAAGAGCUCGUAGGCGGUCUGUCGCGUCUGGUGUGAAAACUCGGGGCUUAACUCCGGGCCUGCAUCGGGUACGGGCAGACUAGAGUGCGGUAGGGGAGACUGGAAUUCCUGGUGUAGCGGUGAAAUGCGCAGAUAUCAGGAGGAACACCGGUGGCGAAGGCGGGUCUCUGGGCCGUAACUGACGCUGAGGAGCGAAAGCAUGGGGAGCGAACAGGAUUAGAUACCCUGGUAGUCCAUGCCGUAAACGUUGGGCGCUAGGUGUGGGGCUCUUUCCACGAGUUCCGUGCCGCAGCAAACGCAUUAAGCGCCCCGCCUGGGGAGUACGG